rnacentral:rRNA from 1 species
AUACGUAUGUCUCAAGCGUUACCCGGAAUCACUGGGUGUAAAGGGUUCGUAGGCGGUUUGAUAAGUUGGAUAUGAAAGACCGGAGCUCAACUCCGUGUUGGUGUUCAAAACUGUCAAACUAGAAUCAGGGAGAGGUAAGCGGAAUUCUAAGUGUAGUGGUGCAAUCCGUAGAUACUUAGAGGAACACCGAAAGCGAAGGCAGCUUACUGGAACUGUAUUGACGCUCAUGAACGAAAGCGUGGGGAGCGAAAAGCAUUAGAUACCCCAGUAGUCC